UGCCCGGUAGCUAAAUGCGGAAGAGAUAAGUGCUGAAAGCAUCUAAGCACGAAACUUGCCCCGAGAUGAGUUCUCCCUGACCCUUAAAGGGUCCUGAAGGAACGUUAAAGACGAUGACGUUGAUAGGCCGGGUGUGUAAGCGCAGCGAUGCGUUGAGCUAACCGGUACUAAUGAACCGUGAGGCUUAACCUUACAACGCCGAAGCUGUU
rnacentral:rRNA from 1 species